CAGCCGUAAACUAUGCUCGCUAGGUGUCAGGCAUGGCGCGACCGUGUCUGGUGCCGCAGGGAAGCCGUGAAGCGAGCCACCUGGGAAGUACGGCCGCAAGGCUGAAACUUAAAGGAAUUGGCGGGGAGCACAACAACGGGUGGAGCCUGCGGUUUAAUUGGACUCAACGCCGGGAAGCUCACCGGAUAAGACAGCGGAAUGAUUGCCGGGCUGAAGACUCUGCAUGACUAGCUGAGAGGAGGUGCAUGGCGUAGACGUCU
rnacentral:rRNA from 1 species